rnacentral:lncRNA from 1 species
UGCCGAUGUGAUGCCGACCGUCUGAGAAGUGCUUGCUUCUUCACCUUCUUCUUCAGAGAAAUCGAUGGCGAAGGAGAACAGGCUAUCGGGAGAAUCUUGUUCAUGGGAGGGAAAGCAAAAUUAGCUCAUACUUAGAGAAUCGGCAAAUAGUGCUAACGGUAGACGGUGACUUACUUGCUUCAAGGCGAUCUCUUGUCUGUGACUGAGAAGUGCUGAUGGAGCUGCAGGCUGAUCGGCCAAAGAUGCCGAUGGAGCUACAGGUUGAUCGGCUGAGAUUGCCGAUG